ACUGAUGCAGUUACAACUACAUUAAAAAAGAGUUUGCCAUCAAAGUGCUGGUUUUUUUAGAGAGAAAGAAGCUCUGAACUACACUUGUGAUGAAAGCAGCCUCAUUAAGACUUGGGUUCCUUGCAUUCUCAGUUCAUUUGGAUUCUCAUGAAUAAGGGAGAGAAUUUUAACCAGCUUUGUUUUCCUUCGCUUACCUGGUUGCAAGUGAAAUUCCAGAGGAAGAUAGAUGCCAGCCAAGGUUUUGGCAAUGCAAUCACAUGUGAGUAGGUAAUUC
rnacentral:lncRNA from 1 species